AUUGAACGCUGGCGGCAUGCUUUACACAUGCAAGUCGAACGGCAGCGCGGGCUUCGGCCUGGCGGCGAGUGGCGAACGGGUGAGUAAUGCAUCGGAACGUGCCCAGUAGUGGGGGAUAGCCCGGCGAAAGCCGGAUUAAUACCGCAUACGACCUGAGGGUGAAAGCGGGGGACCGAAAGGCCUCGCGCUAUUGGAGCGGCCGAGGUCGGAUUAGCUAGUUGGUGGGGUGAAGGCUUACCAAGGCGACGAUCCGUAGCUGGUCUGAGAGGACGACCAGCCACACUGGGACUGAGACACGGCCCAGACUCCUACGGGAGGCAGCAGUGGGGAAUUUUGGACAAUGGGGGCAACCCUGAUCCAGCCAUGCCGCGUGCGGGAAGAAGGCCUUCGGGUUGUAAACCGCUUUUGUUCGGGAAGAAAUCCUCUGGGCUAAUACCCCGGGGGGAUGACGGUACCGGAAGAAUAAGCACCGGCUAACUACGUG
rnacentral:rRNA from 1 species